rnacentral:sRNA from 1 species
UUGAUACCCCUGGAGAUCUUGAUCUGCAGAACAUCUAUGGCACUGGAUAUGCAGGCUUCCCUCUACUGUCCUGCCAAUGUGCUGCAACACUGACCUAGAAGGGCUACCUUUAAGGGGUGAGAAUAGUUCAGGCUUUAUACCCAUUCAGUCCUUAAACUGGC